UGAAAGAGAAAUAAGGGCGCAUGGUGGAUGCCUAGGGUUCCGAAGGCGAUGAAGGACGUAGCGUGCCUGCGAUAAGCGUCGGGGAGGUGGCGAGCAACCUUUGAUCCGGCGAUGUCCGAAUGGGGAAACCCCAUUGAGUAAACCUCAAUGACUCUGUCCUAAACCAACAGAGAGCGAUACCUGCUGAAGUGAAACAUCUCAGUAAGCAGAGGAAAGGAAAAGAACGAGAUACCCAAAUUCGUGCCUCGAGGCUGAUUCGUCGGCCGAUGCAUGCACGAAUUUGAGUAUCUCAACAUUCCCUUAGUAGCGGCGAGCGAAGAGGGAAUAGCCCAGAUCCCCCGCUUUCAAUUUAGUUUACUAAAUGGAAGGCGGGGGAAGUUGUAAGAGAUCAAUUUUCGGGGCCUCUUUCAUCGGUUCAGUCCGAAUCGAUGAAAGAGCGUACCUGUAAGGAGAAAAGAAAGAAACAAUUUGGUUAGCGGAACGGCCCUGGAAAGGCCGGCCACAGAAGGUGAGAGCCCUGUACGCGAAAACUAUUUGUAUGCUCCUAUGUUGAUCCCGACGUAAUAGUCGGGGCUCCUACUCACGGUGUUAGCAACCAGUUAUUGGUUACUAGUUCGGUGGGCUGGAGUUUUCUUGAGUACUGCCCCGUACGGAGACUGGGCAGGAAGCAGGGAGGACUAGACUCCCAAGGCUAAAUACUUUCGGAACACCGAUAGUGAACUAGUACCGUGAGGGAAAGGUGAAAAGUAGCCCGGUGAGGGCGAUGAAAUAGUACCUGAAACCAUGCGCUUACAAGGAGUCAUAGCCCGCAAGGGUGGUGACGUGCCUAUUGAAGAAUGAGCCAACGAGUUUUUAGACUCUACUUGUCUAAGGGGUUACGCCCCAGAGGCAUAGCGAAAGCGAGUGUGAAUAGCGCGUUUAAAACAUUAUGUGUUCGGUGCGAUCUUCGUGCCGAGUGCUUAAUGUUUUUAGGUAGAAUUUAAAAGACCCGAAACCAUGUGAGCUACCCAUGAGCAGGGUGAACUUUGGGUAAUACCAAAGGGAGGCCCGAACUGGUGAGUCGUACAACGCUCUCGGAUGACUUGUGGGUAGGAGUGAAAAGCUAAUCGAACAUGGAAAUAGCUGGUUCUCUUCGAAAUAGCUU
rfam:Candidatus Sungbacteria bacterium RIFCSPHIGHO2_01_FTLL_50_25 rifcsphigho2_01_scaffold_9212, whole genome shotgun sequence.